rnacentral:rRNA from 1 species
UACGAAGGGUGCAAGCGUUACUCGGAAUUACUGGGCGUAAAGGGCGCGUAGGCGGCGACUCAAGUUAGAUGUGAAAGUCCUGGGCUUAACCUGGGGACUGCAUUUGAUACUGGGUUGCUUGAAUUCGGGAGAGGAUAGCGGAAUUCCCAGUGUAGAGGUGAAAUUCGUAGAUAUUGGGAAGAACACCGGUGGCGAAGGCGGCUAUCUGGACCGACAUUGACGCUGAGGCGCGAAAGCGUGGGGAGCAAACAGG